rnacentral:rRNA from 1 species
CUCGCAAGAGCAAAGCAGGGGACCGUUCGGGCCUUGCGCUACCGGAUAUGCCCAGGUGGGAUUAGCUAGUUGGUGAGGUAAGGGCUCACCAAGGCGACGAUCCCUAGCUGGUCUGAGAGGAUGAUCAGCCACACUGGAACUGAGACACGGUCCAGACUCCUACGGGAGGCAGCAGUGGGGAAGUAUUGCACAAUGGGCGCAAGCCUGAUGCAGCCAUGCCGCGUGUAUGAAGAAGGCCUCGG